UAACGCUAUGAAAUUCUUAAUCAAAGCUUUUUCUUUCCAACAGGAGGGCAAAGCGAGAUCGCUCAAGAUAACCAUUUACGGCGGAAAUGCAGCUCCAAUCACGAUUCAUUUGCCGAAACAAUUGCGGAGGAAAUACAUCGUCAAAUGUUGCGGAUUUAAAAAGUGUCUGCCACCAAAAGUUAACGCCACAACCAAAAUAACGUCUACAACUACGCCAAAGCGCAAAAGCGAGCCCGCAACGGUAACAACGAUUCGAGCCACCGUUUCGACAGGAAGCGAGCC